rnacentral:misc_RNA from 1 species
GUGACUAUUGGAGAGGGUGCUAUUUUGAUUGCCUGUUUUCGAUGUGGUUUUGACUAAGCCUGUUGGAGUUAGCCUAGCUGAAGGGUAUUGAGAGUUGUCGAGAGGAUGGACAGCUCAGGGGUCGUUUAGCCAGCACACUUCUAAUGACCGCCUGACUCAUGAAGGCAAGUUGUCAUUUGAGCUCUGCCCAACGACUCUUCUUCUUGUGCUGUGUUUCCUUAGUGAUUGAGCUUUUUUGGUGAUGGCCUCUGAGUUUUUCUGUGUCUGUUCUUACUCAGAAGGCUAGGUUUUAUCUUCCAAAUGGCGGAGAAGCUAGGCGACGCUACUUCCUCUCAUGCGUCCUCCCACUUCUUCUUAUUACACCUAAUUACUUUGUUGUAAUCG